UUGAACGCUGGCGGAAUGCUUUACACAUGCAAGUCGAACGGCAGCACGGGAGCAAUCCUGGUGGCGAGUGGCGAACGGGUGAGUAAUAUAUCGGAACGUGCCCGGUCGUGGGGGAUAACGUAGCGAAAGCUACGCUAAUACCGCAUACGAUCUACGGAUGAAAGCGGGGGAUCGCAAGACCUCGCGCGAUUGGAGCGGCCGAUAUCAGAUUAGGUAGUUGGUGAGGUAAAGGCUCACCAAGCCGACGAUCUGUAGCUGGUCUGAGAGGACGACCAGCCACACUGGGACUGAGACACGGCCCAGACUCCUACGGGAGGCAGCAGUGGGGAAUUUUGGACAAUGGGCGCAAGCCUGAUCCAGCAAUGCCGCGUGCAGGAUGAAGGCCUUCGGGUUGUAAACUGCCUUUGUACGGAACGAAACGGUGAGCUCUAAUACAGUUUGCUAAUGACGGUACCGUAAGAAUAAGCACCGGCUAACUACGUG
rnacentral:rRNA from 1 species